UGUUUCUUGAGCACUCCUUGUCCUCUUCCUGAUAAGAGGGACAUCAUCCGAAUCUUCCUCCUCUUCCUGAAUGGUGGACAUUGCAGGUUUGUCAUUUUUAGCCUUCUGGUGCUUCUGAGCACCCUUCUCAGAAGCAUCACCAGCAAGAUAUUCCUCCUUGGUGAUUGGCUUUUUCUUGGAUUUCCUGCCUUUGGCCACAGGCAAAGCACCACCAUACAUCUGAAGGUGAAAAACACAAGAAGGGGGGGGGGGGGUUGAAUUGUGUUUUCUUUUUCUCUUAAAAAGGGAUUCUUCUUCUGAUAAAACUUCAGAAGCAGUUUGAUUGCUUCUGAUGAAAUGAUCAGAGUCAGAUUGCAGCGGAAAAGAACAGAGCAGAGAAAAGAAAGACAAAGACACAGGCAGUUAUCCUGGUUCCUUCCACAACACGGAAGUAGUCCAGUCCCCCUUGCACUUCCAAGGAGAUUUCACUAUAAUCACAAGAUUACAACUGCUCAAUACUUUCAAAGUAUGAGACUUCACAAAACAAUGCUCAAGCACACACGCAAGAGUCUUCCAAUGCUCAAGCACUAAGCAAGAGACUUCUAAUGCUCAAGCACGCAGGCAAGAGACUUCUAAUCAAACAAAAAUACAGAGAAUUGAGUUUGAAUUGAACACUUGAUAUACAAUCAGUGGUGUUCACAAUACAAUACAGAAAAGACUCUAGACUUUGAAUUUCUAAGAUGUAUCAAAUCAGUGCAGAAAUUCAGUGUGCUUUGUAGAAUCAAAUUGACAGAGUUUUGGCGCUUUUGAACUUAUGUAUCUCUAUCUAAAAUCUUCAAGUCUUCAUUCCUUUAUAUAGAGGUGUGAAAGAGACGUUGAGAUAAUCAGCACGUCUAAAGAGUCGUUUGAAAUCCUUUGAUUAUCCACCAGUGAUCCUUUGCCUGAUUUGGGUGUAGUCCUUUGAAGAAUAAACUUCAAAUUCAUUCCCAUCUUGAGUGUACAAAUUCUGCAGGCAUGGCUGUUGUUUUGUCUUGUAGCGUAGACAGAAAACAGAGUAGUGGAGGUAGUGGUUGUACACUUGUACUUUGUCAACUCUAUUAACGAGAGACAAGAGCUCAGUGCUAUCCAUAUAUCCGUUGAUACCUCCCUUUCAAUUCUUUGUUCUUCUUUGAUAAGACUGAAUUGAGAAUCAGCAACUUUGAAUCUUCAGUUUGAUUAAAGGAUCAAAAGUAGCUUCUGGUGAAGAUAUUGCUUCUGAUGAAAACUUUUGCUUCUGAUGACUUUCUGCUUCUGAUGACGUCAUCUCUUCAGGAGCAGUUUAGCUUCAGGAGCAGUUUUCUUCAGAUGCUCAGAAUUUCUUUUUCUUUCCAUUGUUCUUCCAAGACCUAUUGAAAUAACUUGAGUAGCCUUUGGUCCUGUACACUUGAACAAUUAUUAGUAAUAACCAAUUGACAAUUUUUAAUACCUUGUUAUCAUCAAAACUUAAUAAGGUUCAUUGUGAAACACAUUUUGUUCCAACAAUCUCCCCCUUUUUGAUGAUGACAAACAAUAGUAUUUAAAAUGUUCAAUUGUUGUUGAUCUAAUUAAUAAGUUGACUACUGGGACAGAGGUUUGUAAGCUCCCCCUGAGUCUAAUAGUUCUUUAAGGUGAGGUUUGUAAGCUCCCCCUAAGUUCUAUUCUUAUUAAUUAAAUUUCAAUAAAAUACUUAUAAAAUCAAAUCAGAAGUAUUUAAAAGAAAUUUAGAAGAGGUUAUAGUAGGGCUCAGUGCCUUAACAAAUACUAUACAUUUACUCCCCCUUUUGUCAUCAACAAAAAGAAUAGAAACAAAAGAAAGAGUAUCAGAGCAAGCAGCAUUAAAAACAGUAAAUAUCAUCAGAGUUAAAGCUUGUAAAACAUAUUGAAGGUGAAAAAGCACAAGAUCCAGAAACAAUGAUAAUAUAUAUAAAGAAGAUUAAGAUACAAGGACACAGCUACGAAGAACAAAAGUAAAAAACAAGCUAGAGUUGGGUGUGCAACUAAGGUUGGGCUUGCUUAUACAACUGUUCUAAGAGAUACUUGAUCUGAUCAUCCUUCUUCUGAAGUAGCUCAUCCUUUUCCCUCAUUCUUCGUUUAAAUCCAGCCUGAAUUCUAGCAGCCCUAGUGAUGUACUCUUCUUCUGGAUAGAAAGGAGUGAUGUCCAGCAGAGGCACAAAGUUCAGCUCUUUCUCCUUAGCUGCUUCAUGCAUGUCAUCCAAAAGCUUUUUCAGCAUAGCAGAGUGAGAUGACACACAUUUAGUUCUAAGCUGAUCCAGCAGCUCAUCAAAGCUCUUCUGUAGAUCCAUCCACUGAUCAUAAUAGUGAAUAGGAGGUGCAGGAACUGUUCUGCGAAGAAUCAGUGCCUGAAUCUCAUCACUAAGUCUAAUCAGCUGUUCCUCUAUAUACUCAGACUCCAGGAUAUGGUCAGGGAUGGGUGAAGGUUCAGUUUGAGUUGUAUGUGAUGUAGAAGUUUGGUCAGAGGUUAAGUCUAUUAUAGUGGGUGAGUCUGGUUGUUGUUGUUGUUCUGUUGUUUGGUCAGAAGUUGUUUGGUCAGGAGCAACUUGUUCAGAAGCAGUUUGCUCCUGAACAGUUUGCUCAGGGAUGGUUUGGGUUUCUGUUUGGGUUUCCAAGACAGUCUUUUCAGAAACUGUCUUCGAGGCCUUAGUGGGUGUUGGUUGCAUUUCACCACCUAGAUGUUUUUCUAAGUUGUGAAGGGUUGAGGAUUCUUGGUGUUGGGGGGUUUCUGAAGUAGUUGCAUCUGAAGCUACUUCAGAGGCUUUUUGUGGAGAUUGGUUAUUUGGUGAGUUUGUUUGGGUAGGUUCAGGUUGUUGUAUACUAACAGGUUCUGGAGUAUCUGGAUAUAGUGGAUGAGUAGUAGGCAAAUUGAAUUUCUCACAAAGUUUUAUCCUAUUUUUUGAAAAUUCUAUUUGAGUACUCUCAUAGUCAAGUGUUCCAUACUCUGUUAGUUUGGUAGGUUUGGUUUUUAGAAGCUUGUUUAUAUGUUGGCUAAGGGGUUGGUCAUCUGAUUCUGUGGAUGAUGAAGAGGGUGAAGAGGGUAGAGAUAGAGACUGAGUAUUAGUUGGAGCUUUAGAUGGAUUACCUGAGGACUGAGCUUCUGGAUGAAUUGCUUCUGGAGCUGUUGAAACUGGAUCUGAUGAAGUUGCUCCUGAAGCUUGCUUAUUCUUCAAGGCUUGAGAAAGCAGAGUUGCUCCAUACUGAACUGUUUCUAACUCAGACGCUAAAGCAGCAAUGUCAGGAGUAGGCACAUACCCUGCAGCCUUGAGACGCUCAUCCCUUUCUUUCUCAAACACUUCCUUCAACCUUUUCUUUUCUGCUAUCUUGGAUGCAGAAACCUCUCUAGCGUACUGCCUCAUUUCUUCAGUCAUUUCAAAACUGGGCAUGACUAUGGGCUCAGAAGUUGCAGUCCUUUUUGCCUUCUUGGGGCUAGAGUCUUCAUCCCAGUUCUCUUCCAGUUCUUUCAACAUUUCUUCCCUUCUUCCUUCAGCUGUCUUCAGAUUUCUUGUUAAAUUAGACCUCUUCCUUUUGAUGGUCUGAAGAGCAGCUUCUCUUUUAUUUUUGGGACUUGAAGGCUUUUCAGAAGCAGCUUGAUCAGAAGCAGCUUGUUCAGAACCAGCUUGUUCAGAACCAGCUUGUUCAGAAGCAGGCUGUUCUGCUGUUUCUUGAGUACUCCUUGUCCUUUUUCUGAUAAGAGGGACAUCAUCCAAAUCCUCCACUUCCUCAAGAAUGGUGGACAUAGCAGAUUUUUCCUUCUUAGCUUUCUUAUGCUUCUGAGCACCCACCUCAGUAGCAUCUUCAGCAAGGUAUUCUUCCUUGGUGAUCUGCUUCUUUUUAGAUUUUCUGCCUUUGGCCACAGGCAGAUCACCACCAUACAUUUCUUCAGGGAUAUCUUUCAGGCUGAUUUUCUUGUUGUAGCUCUUGUAGUAGUCCAAGAUGUAGGCCCUCUGCACAUCCAGGGGAUCUUUCUUGCAGAUAGGGAUGUGAUGAGUGACUAGAUCAGAUAUGACAUCAGAUUCAUGCAUAUCUGUAUCUAGUUUCUUGCAAGUUGAAAUCAGCCUCAUCUUGACUAGAGUUGCCCCAUUGAUUAUUUUUCCUGUGACUGCUCCCAGCUUCUAAUAUCAUAAAUACCCACGUCUUUCAGGGCACUUAGGAGUCCUCCUUCUUGAAAGAUUAUGGAGAGCAGCCUUCCAUAGGGAACAAACUUCCUGUUCUCCAUCUGGCUCUUCUUGAGUUCCUUGAUCAUGUAUUUAAACAUAUACUUGGGAACGUUCAUUGUUGUUUCCUGAGAGAUGGUGUGAUGCAGAAAGACUUUGUGACCAAGUGAAGGUUGAUCAUUUCCUCCACCUUUGGGAAAAAUGUUUUCAUUUUGGAUCUUCAGCAGCAUUUUCUUUUCCAUGCUUAAGGUGCUGUAAGGCUUAGCAUCCUUUGAUCCGUAGAUAGUGUUGUUUACUAUCUCCUUCCAUGGGCUUGUUCUGGGGUUAGGAAUCUCUUCUCCAUCGUAUGUCCCAGAAGCAUCCCUUCUCAUGGCUUGAGCAAUCACAUGCUCAUUGAUUGUUACAGGAAUCCCCAUGACGUUUGAUCUAAUCUCAGUCCCAGUGAAGGCGAGUAGACCCAUUUCUUCUCUGGUUUUUCCCUCCAAAGUAGGAUCAACCAGAAUCAUCUGAGCUUCUUCCUGUUUAGCAGCAACUUUGUCAAACACUGAAGCUCUUACCCAGAAUUGUCUGACAAGCACUUCAUAAGUAGGACCGUUGAGAAGACUGAAGUAACUCAUCAGCUUCUGCUUUUUGUAGAAUCUUACCAAGUCGCAUCCAUGAUGAGUUAGAGAAGUGAAAUCCACUGGAUUUUCCGCUUGAAUGAUUAGAUCCCAUUCCUCAAUCGACAUAGUUCUUCCUUUGAUUUCAUAAGCAGGAGUAUCUAUAUCCAUAUUCGAUGAAGAACCACCGGCAGAACUUGAAGAUGCCAUGAUUUUAAGUAGAAUUAGGGUUCUAAGGUGUUUUGAGAGGUUGAGAGAAUGUGCUUACUUACACAGAGGGUUGAGAAGAAAUUAGAAAGUGUUUGUUGUGAAGUGAGAAGUGUGUGAAAUGACUUAGUGUUUUUUAUUAAAACGUUUGUAAUUCAGAAGGGACAAACAAACAUAGCAUUAAUGACAAAUUGGGGGCGCGUGUAAGUAUGUUAAAAAGCGAAUAAAACAUCAUUGCCCUUUUUGUUAUACUCCAAUACAAAUAGACCACGUCAGAGACUCUUCAGAAAACUACUUUUUGGGUAAUGGGACAGCUGUUUACAUAAAGUAACUACCAACGUUCCCACUAACCAAACUAUUCAGAAGCAAAGAAUAACACUUCUGAAGUUUUAGUGCUGACGUCAUCUUCAGAAGCACAUUUUCCUCAGAACCUCAGUUAAGAGCUUCUGAUGAACCAAAAUGCUCCUGAAUAAACUUCAGAACCAAACUUCUUAUUCAGAGGCAAGCAAUUUUUCAAUCAGACACAAAAUACAUGUUCAAAUUUUUCUUAAUAAAAUCAAAUCUUUCAACAGACAAAGGUUUUGUAAAUAUAUCAGCCCAUUGAUGUUCAGUAUCAAUGAAUUGUAUAUCUAAAAUUCCUUUUUGAACAUAGUCUCUGAUAAAAUGGUGUUUGAUUUCAAUAUGCUUGGCUCUUGAAUGUAGAAUUGGAUUCUUUGACAAAUAAAUAGCAGCAGUAUUAUCACAAUAAAUGGGAAUACUGUUAGCAUUGAUCUGAUAGUCUUCCAACUGAUGUUUCAUCCAAAGUAGUUGUGUGCAACAACUUGCAGCUGAAAUGUACUCUGCUUCUGCUGUAGACAUAGCAAUAGUUGCUUGUCUUUUGCUUGCCCAGGAUAUCAGAUUCUCUCCCAGGAAUUGACAAUUUCCACUGGUUGAUUUUCUUUCAAUCCUAUCACCAGCAUAAUCAGCAUCACAGAAUCCAAUCAACUUAUAAUCUAGGGAUUUCCUAUACAGGAGUCCAAGAUUAGUUGUUCCUUUCAGAUACCUGAAGAUUCUCUUAACUGCAGUUAAAUGAGAUUCUCUAGGAUCUGAUUGAAAUCUUGCACACAAGCAUACACUGAAUAAAAUAUCAGGUCUAGAUGCAGUGAGGUAUAACAGAGAACCAAUCAUACCUCUGUAUAGCUUCUGGUCUACUACUGUUCCAGUAUCUUCUUUGCUUAAGGUGCAGGUUGGAUGCAUUGGAGUGUUCAUCACUUUACAAUCUUCUAGCUUGAACUUCUUCAGAAGCUCCUUUGUAUAUUUUGUUUGAUGAACAUAUACUCCUUCUUUACUUUGGUUGAUUUGAAUUCCCAGAAAGAAUUUCAAUUCUCCCAUCAUACUUAUUUCAAAUUCAUCCUGCAUUAACUUAGAAAAUUCUUUGCAAAGAGAUGCAUUAGUAGAACCAAAUAUUAUAUCAUCAACAUAUAUUUGCACAAUCAAAAUAUCUUUCUUAAGAGUCCUUCUGAAGAGUGCUGUGUCAACUUGUCCUCUUUCAAAAUCAUUUUUAAUUAAGAAAUUACUUAGUCUAUCAUACCAAGCUCUGGGAGCUUGUUUCAAGCCAUAUAGUGAUUUCUUAAGUUUAUAAACAUGGUCAGGAUGCUUAAGAUCCUCAAACCCAGGAGGUUGUUUGACAUACACUUCUUCUUCAAUGACACCAUUAAGAAAAGCACUUUUGACAUCCAUUUGAUAUAAUAUUAUGCCAUGAUUAAUUGCGUAGGAUAGAAGUAACCUGAUUGCUUCCAAUCUUGCAACUGGAGCAAAUGUUUCAGUGUAAUCAAUGCCUUCUUGUUGACUGUAGCCUUGAGCAACAAGUCUGGCUUUGUUUCUGGUUACUUCUCCUUGUUCAUUCAGCUUGUUUCUGAAUACCCAUUUUGUUCCAAUAAUGUUCUUCUGAGAAGGUUUGGGUACCAGAUCCCACACAUCAUUCCUUUGGAAUUGAUUUAGCUCUUCUUGCAUAGCUAAUAUCCAUCCAUCAUCUGAGAGAGCUUCUUCAACAGUUUUAGGCUCAAUUAUUGAAAGCAGUCCUAUUAAUGACUCUUCUUGUCUAAAAUGUGAUCUUGUUCUUCUAGGACUAUCUUUGCUUCCAAUGAUUAACUCCUCAGGAUGUGAAGAUUUGUGCUUGAAUUUAGGUUGAAUAACCUGCUGAGUGUUAUCUUGAAAGUCCUCAGAAGCACUUUCAUUCUGUACUUUUGGGCUAGGUUCUGCUUCUGAAUUAGACUCAGCUUCUGGGGUGAUUUCAGCUUCUGGACAAGAUUCAACUUCUGUAUACUUUUCAGAAUCAGAAGGUUGAUCAGAUUCUGAUGCAUCUUCAGAAUCAGUUGUACCUGCAUUACUUUCACUUUGCUCUGAAGUUUUACUUCCAGGCUCUCUAUCAUCAAAUUUUACAUGCAUAGAUUCUUCAACACAUUGUGUUUCUGAAUUAUACACUCUGUAUGCCUUUGACCUUUCAGAGUAACCUAAAAAGAUUCCUCUUUGAGCCUUGGCAUCAAAUUUCUUCAGAUAGUCUUUAGUGUUUAAGAUGUAACAAGUACAUCCAAACUGAUGAAAGUAAGAGAUAUUGGGUCUUCUUCCUUUAAAGAGUUCAUAUGCAGUUUUCUCCAACAUAGGUCUGAUAUAGAUCCUAUUUUGAAUAUAACAUGAAGUAUUGACUGCUUCUGCCCAAAAAUGUUUAGCUAAGUUGUUUUCAUGGAUCAUGGUUCUGGCCAUUUCUGGUAAGGUUCUGUUCUUUCUUUCUACAACCCCAUUUUGUUGUGGAGUUCUAGGAGAAGAAAACUCAUGGAGAAUCCCAUGUUUUUCACAAAAAAGUUCAAAUGGCUCAUUUUCAAAUUCUCCACCAUGAUCACUUCUGACUUUCAAAAUUUUCAAUUCUUUUUCAGAUUGUAUUUGAGUGCAGAAGCUGCUAAACACUUCACAUGCAUAGUCUUUACUUUUAAUGAAUUUUACCCAAGUCCAUCUGCUGUAAUCAUCAACAAUGACUAAUCCGUAUUUACUUCCAUAUAAAGAUGCAGUGUUAACUGGACCAAAAAGAUCAAUAUGGAGUAAUUCUAAGGGUCUGGAGGUUGAUACAAUGUCUUUAGAUUUGAAAGAACUUUUCACAAUUUUCCCUUUCUGACAUGCACCACAAAGUGCAUCUGAAUGAUAAUCAAUGUUAGGCAAUCCUUUGACCAGUUGUAACUUGCUAAUUUUAGAAAUUAAUCUCCAAUUAGCAUGUCCCAACCUUUUAUGCCAUACCCAUUUUUUAUCAUUCAUUGACAGAAGGCAAACUACCUUCUGAUCAGCCAGAUCAGAGAAAUUUAUUUUAUAGACAUUCUCAACUCUCUUUCCCUUGAAUGUAAUGGAUUUGUCAUCCUUGUUGACUAGUGUGCAGUUGGUCUUACUGAACGUUACAUCAUACCCAUUGUCACAAAAUUGACUAAUGCUCAAUAGGUUAUGCUUCAGACCAUCUACUAGCCACACAUUAUUAAUUGAGAUGGAGGAAUUACCAAUAGUACCUGUACCAAUGAUCUUUCCAGUUUGGUUGCCACCAAACUUCACUUCUCCUCCAUCUUUCAUUGUAAGGGUAAGGAACAAAGCUUUCUCUCCAGUCAUGUGCCUUGAACAUCCGCUGUCUAGGUACCAUGACCUUUGUUUCUCUCUUGCCCUUAAGCACACCUGCAUUUUUGGCCAAUUCAGAUUUAGGUACCCAUAUCUUCAUGGGUCCUUUUGGGUUAGUUUUGGAGGUUUUACUUUUCCUCCCUUGUACCUUAGGGUGAAUGCUGAGUGGCUUAUGAUCAUUCAAUACUUUAGGUUUGACACCUUUUGGUAUUGUUUUCUCAGAAGCAGUAGCUGCUUUGUUCUUCUGAUCCUUUUGUUUUGGAAUUUUAGAUUCUGGUUUAAUCAGAUUCUGAUGAACAGGUUCUGAUCUUUUCAGAAUUUUAAUCUUUUGACUCUUAGGAUCAGAUUUUGUCAUUACCUUGAUCUUAAGAUUCUCUGCCUUUGAUGUGAUCUUAGCCUGUGAACCUGAAGCUUCAGGUUUUGACUGAACAGCAGUUAUAGCAUUUGUACCUUCAGGCACAAAGGUGGAUUUCAAUCCAUCCUUGAUACAAUCACAGUAGCUCUUGAGACUGUAUUCUUUGGAUUUCUCCUCAGAAUAUCCAAUCCCUUUGCCUUUGUUCUUGUAUGUGCUGUAGAUCAUAGAAGCAACUUUGCUUCUGUCUAUUCCAGCCAUAAUAAAAUCAUCCAAGGCAAUCUCAUGUUUAUUGCCUGAACCUUUAUCACAUUUUUCUUGUAGCUUCUGACAAAGACUCUUGAGUCUAUCUUCAUAUGUUGUUGAUAUGAGGUUAAACCCUUUGAGUUCUUCUUCAGAAGCUUUCAGUUCCAAUAGAGUUGAUUUUUGUUGUUUCAUCAAAUCAACAUAUUUUUCUUUUAAAUCUGUCAACUCAUUGGUUCUGUGUUCAAACAGUGAUAAAAGUUCUUUUAGAGAAUCAACAAGUUCUUGUCUAGGGAUUUUGGAAUAUACCUCAUUUUCAUCUUCUGAAUCUGAUUCAGCUUCUGAUACUGCUUCUGAUGAUACUGUUGCCACUAACCCAACGGCUGCCUUAGCAUCAUCAUCAGCUUCUUCUUUAUCAGAACCAGAUUCACUAUCCAAAUCUUCCCAGGUCGCCAUCAAGCUCUUUUUGAUUUGCUUUCUGAAUUUACUGGAGUUGAAGCUUGAUUUCUUGGAUUUGCCUUUAAACUUCUCCUUCUGAAGAUCAGGGCAAUCAGCAAUGAAAUGACCAGGCUUCUUACAAUUGAAGCAUCCCUUCUGAUCUUCUUUCUUGAAGUUCUUGUAGCUACCUCUCUUGCUCAAAAAUUUCUUCUGCUUCCUUGCCAGAUACUCAAGCUUGUUGGACAGCAUAGCCAUCUUUACAGAUUGAUCUUCAUCAGAAUCUCCAUCAGGUGAUUCUUCUUCAGAUUCACUGGCUUUGUAGGCUUUGGAAGACUUUGAGGUCUUUCCUUUAGAUGGUAAAGCAAUGGAUUUACUCUUCUUAGAGGUUUCAUGCUCAUUUAAACUCAUUUCAUGCACUUUGAGUGAGCUAACAAGAUCUUCAACACUUAAAGUAUUUAGAUCCUUAGCUUCCUCAAUAGCAGUUACUUUGGGUCUCCAUCUUGAAGGUAAGCUUCUCAAAAUCUUACUAACAUGAUCAGAAGCAACAUAGCUUUUCUUCAGUAUCUGCAAUCCAGAAACUAAAGUUUGAAAUCUUGAGUACAUUUCUUCUAUACUCUCAUCAUCCUUCAUUCUGAAAAGUUCAUACUGAUGAACUAGCAUCAAAGCUUUAGCCUCUUUUACUUUCUUGCUGCCUUCAAAGUUUGCACAUAGAGAAGCAAACAUAGCCUUCGCAGUAGAUUUGUCACUCAUUUUCAUGUAUUCGGUGCGAGGUAUAGAAGCCACAAUGAUUCCUCUUAUCUUGUGAUGUUUCUUAUAAAGCUUCUUCUGAGCAGGAGUAUGUAUUCUUCUGUCUAUAGCAGCUCCUUCUUCAUCCAAAUCCAGAUCAUCAACUCCAUCUUCCAGUAUAUCCCAUAGCUCUUCAUCCAAUCCCAUGAUAAAGCUGUACAUAUUAGUUUUCCACCAUGAAAACUCUUCUGGAUCUCCAUUAAACUUUGGAGCUUUUCCAGAGUCUGUUUUCUUGUCAGCAGUAUCAUAGUCAUGCUUGACACUUGUGUAUUUUGGAGUAACUGAUUCCUCAUCUCCAGACAUGUUUUUCUAAUAGAUCUUGAACUGUAACACGGUUAAGUGCUGUGAUAACAGAGCAAGCUCUGAUACCAAUUGAAGGUGAAAAACACAAGAAGGGGGGGGGGGGGUUGAAUUGUGUUUUCUUUUUCUCUUAAAAAGGGAUUCUUCUUCUGAUAAAACUUCAGAAGCAGUUUGAUUGCUUCUGAUGAAAUGAUCAGAGUCAGAUUGCAGCGGAAAAGAACAGAGCAGAGAAAAGAAAGACAAAGACACAGGCAGUUAUCCUGGUUCCUUCCACAACACGGAAGUAGUCCAGUCCCCCUUGCACUUCCAAGGAGAUUUCACUAUAAUCACAAGAUUACAACUGCUCAAUACUUUCAAAGUAUGAGACUUCACAAAACAAUGCUCAAGCACACACGCAAGAGUCUUCCAAUGCUCAAGCACUAAGCAAGAGACUUCUAAUGCUCAAGCACGCAGGCAAGAGACUUCUAAUCAAACAAAAAUACAGAGAAUUGAGUUUGAAUUGAACACUUGAUAUACAAUCAGUGGUGUUCACAAUACAAUACAGAAAAGACUCUAGACUUUGAAUUUCUAAGAUGUAUCAAAUCAGUGCAGAAAUUCAGUGUGCUUUGUAGAAUCAAAUUGACAGAGUUUUGGCGCUUUUGAACUUAUGUAUCUCUAUCUAAAAUCUUCAAGUCUUCAUUCCUUUAUAUAGAGGUGUGAAAGAGACGUUGAGAUAAUCAGCACGUCUAAAGAGUCGUUUGAAAUCCUUUGAUUAUCCACCAGUGAUCCUUUGCCUGAUUUGGGUGUAGUCCUUUGAAGAAUAAACUUCAAAUUCAUUCCCAUCUUGAGUGUACAAAUUCUGCAGGCAUGGCUGUUGUUUUGUCUUGUAGCGUAGACAGAAAACAGAGUAGUGGAGGUAGUGGUUGUACACUUGUACUUUGUCAACUCUAUUAACGAGAGACAAGAGCUCAGUGCUAUCCAUAUAUCCGUUGAUACCUCCCUUUCAAUUCUUUGUUCUUCUUUGAUAAGAUUGAAUUGAGAAUCAGCAACUUUGAAUCUUCAGUUUGAUUAAAGGAUCAAAAGUAGCUUCUGGUGAAGAUAUUGCUUCUGAUGAAAACUUUUGCUUCUGAUGACUUUCUGCUUCUGAUGACGUCAUCUCUUCAGGAGCAGUUUAGCUUCAGGAGCAGUUUUCUUCAGAUGCUCAGAAUUUCUUUUUCUUUCCAUUAUUCUUCCAAGACCUAUUGAAAUAACUUGAGUAGCCUUUGGUCCUGUACACUUGAACAAUUAUUAGUAAUAACCAAUUGACAAUUUUUAAUACCUUGUUAUCAUCAAAACUUAAUAAGGUUCAUUGUGAAACACAUUUUGUUCCAACAACAUCUGGUCAGGAACAUCCUUCAAGUUGAUUUUCUCGUUGUAGGUUUUGUAGAAGUCCAUGAUGUAUGCCCUUUGAACAUCCAAGGGAUCUUGUUUACAGAUGGGAGGAAAGUUUGGAAUAAGAUCUGAUUUGGCAUCUGAUGGCUUUAAAUCAGUAGGUCUCUUCUUAACAUCUUUUGCUUCAAUCAGACGCAUAGACCUUAGAGUCUCACCAUUGAUAAUAUUUCCUCUAACAGUUCCCAACUGUUCAUCUGUGAAGAUCUGAUCUUCCUUCAGCAAAUCAAUUAUUCCUCCCUGAUGGAAAAUCUCAGAGAGUAGCCUCCCAUAGGGUACCCAAAACCUAUUAUUUUGUUGGCUCUCUCUGAGUUGAUGAACCAUAUGUCUGAAAAUGUAUCAGGGAAUAUUUGCCUCUACACCCUUUAUGACAAAGUGUAAGAGGAUUUUAUGUUCCAGAGAGGGCUGAUCACUACCACCACCUUUUGGUAGUAGGUUUUCGUUCUGAAUCUUCAACAAUACCUCUGUCUUGGCAUUCAUAUCAGAAUAGGCAAAGUCCUUUACCUUGUUGUAGAGAGUUCUGUUAACAAUAGCGUUCCAGGGGCUGUCCUUUGGCUUUGAAAUCCCAGCCUCAUGUUCUCCUUCUGCUGGUCUUCUGAUGACAAAGGCAAUAGUGUCCUCAGUGAUCCAAACUGGGAUUCCCAUGUUGCUUGAUCUUAUCUGGGUUUUGG
rnacentral:lncRNA from 1 species